CUGAUUUCCUUUAGUGCUUCACGUGGCAUGUACGUGAGAUUUCCCCUGUCUCUAUUCUUUCUGUGUCUUCCCUCUAGAUCUAAUGUAGGUGAGAUUGCAAAUUGAUCAUCUAUACUAUAGACGAUUUUAAUUUGUCAACAUCACUUGAUCUGUAGUGUGAUGUGCAGGCUCCAGCUAGAUUCAUAUACUUUGCCUCGGUUCCUAUUAUUCUCGUUUGUGCCCUCCACAUAUGUGUUGCCUAGUGAUUGAAAAAUGCAAAUUAAUAUUUGCUUCUGGAUCCUAGUUAGAUAGGGCUAAAUCUCUGGAUCUGUAGUGUGCCCUGCAGUUGCAACUAGCUGCAUAUAACAUUUUUCCCUACCUAAAUGACUCGUACUUGAGUGGCUUAGCUUAUGCAUAUUGAGGUGGACACACACACAUACACGGUUAUCAUCAGUUUUAUACUAGCUUUGCUGAUGCUACAUUUUCUUCAGUUGAGAUGAACUAAGUACUUUUCAGUAAUUCAUGUUCAGUUUUAUUUAUGCAUCUAAAUAGUUCAUACACUUCAGAAUGGUUUGUUCUUGUAUUCAAGUGGAAGUUAGGGAACGUUUGAACUUUGAUUUCCUUUUGAGUUAUGUCUCUACUUCAUCUUAUCAAUUAACAAUGUUUUUGGAUAUCAUGUAUGGUUUAUCUAAUUACUCUUCCCACGGUCACCACAGUAGAAAAACUAAAAUUUGCUUAUGCUAUGUAUCAACCUUAUCAUGGCACAUGAUCCUACUUGGAGGGCUAACUCCAACAACCUAGCUUUGUAGUAUGCUUCCUGGCCAGAUUUUAAAAGGAAGGAUCUUGUCAUGUGUAUGUUGUGUAUUCAGAAAGUCCAUGCUGGAGUAGGAAGGUUGGUGCGGCACCUUACUGGAGGUUCAAGUGAUGUGAAGAAGUCUCCCGAGUCAACCGCGGAAAUUCAGAAGACAUGCGUAGCUACUUAUUAGAUAGAAAAAAGUUUAAAGUCAUAGAUUGAGAUAUAGAUGAGAAAAAGUUACAUCAAAAUUUUCUAAUUAAGAUCAGGCUAGAGAUGACUUGAGAAGGGGCUUCUGGAUUUUACUUUUAAUGAUGCUCAUGCUAAUUUUACUCUCGCAGGUACAUGCAGACCUCAAAUACUGGUGUGGAUUUGGGUACAUGACAACAUAUGUGUGCUUCUAACCAAUUUGUGUAAGCUGCUAAAACUCAUCCCAGUCAUCCAUCGAAGAACGGAAAUAUAUGAGUGAAGUAGAUUGGAGUGAAGAUCACAUGGAGCACACAUGUCUUAAAGCUUUGCAUAGACCAUGAAAAAAGAAUUAUUAUGGAUAUCAAGUUUUUAUUCAUUUAGUUAGAUUUCUUACCUCUACAAGACCCUGAAAAAAAGAAUUAUUAUGUAUAUUAAUUUUUUAUUCACCUAGUUAGAUUUCUUAUGUCUAGAACGUGUAAUAUGUAUUUUCAGAUACUAAAUGGAUUUUGUUGAAAUAGAGUAUCGCCACCAAGUGUUCAAAUUGUCGCAA